rnacentral:rRNA from 1 species
GACGAACGCUGGCGGCGUGCUUAACACAUGCAAGUCGAACGGAAAGGCCCUGCUUUUGUGGGGUGCUCGAGUGGCGAACGGGUGAGUAACACGUGAGUAACCUGCCCUUGACUUUGGGAUAACUUCAGGAAACUGGGGCUAAUACCGGAUAGGAGCUCCUGCUGCAUGGUGGGGGUUGGAAAGUUUCGGCGGUUGGGGAUGGACUCGCGGCUUAUCAGCUUGUUGGUGGGGUAGUGGCUUACCCAGGCUUCGACGGGUAGCCGGCCUGGGAGGGUGACCGGCCACAUGGGGACUGAGAUACGGCCCAGACUCCUACGGGAGGCAGCAGUGGGGAAUAUUGCACAAUGGGCGGAAGCCUGAGGCAGCAACGCCGCGUGCGGGAUGACGGCCUUCGGGUUGUAAACCGCUUUCGCCUGUGACGAAGCGUGAGUGACGGUAAUGGGUAAAGAAGCACCGGCUAACUACGUG